rnacentral:rRNA from 1 species
GAUCAUGGCUCAGGACGAACGCUGGCGGCGUGCUUAACACAUGCAAGUCGAACGGAGCACCCUUGAUUGAGGUUUCGGCCAAAUGAUAGGAAUGCUUAGUGGCGGACUGGUGAGUAACGCGUGAGGAACCUGCCUUUCAGAGGGGGACAACAGUUGGAAGCGACUGCUAAUACCGCAUGACGCAUUUUGAUCGCAUUGUCGAAAUGCCAAAGAUUUAUCGCUGAAAGA